CUACGGGUCGCUGCAGUGAGGAAUAUUGCACAAUGGGGGGAACCCUGAUGCAGCAACGCCGCGUGGAGGAUGACGCAUUUCGGUGUGUAAACUCCUUUUAUAUGUCAAGAAAAUGACGGUAGCAUAUGAAUAAGCACCGGCUAACUCCGUGCCAGCAGCCGCGGUAAUACGAAGGGUGCAAGCGUUACUCGGAAUCACUGGGCGUAAAGGACGCGUAGGCGGGUUGGAAAGUCAGGUGUGAAAUCCUACAGCUUAACUGUAGAACUGCACUUGAAACUCUCAAUCUAGAGUAUGGGAGGGGCAGAUGGAAUUAGUGGUGUAGGGGUAAAAUCCGUAGAUAUCACUAGGAAUACCUAAAGCGAAGGCGAUCUGCUGGAACAUUACUGACGCUAAGGCGUGAAAGCGUGGGGAGCAAACAGGAUUAGAUACCCUGGUAGUC
rnacentral:rRNA from 1 species